UUUCGGCUCUCUUUGCAUCUGGCACAUUGUGAUGAUUUCAUGCCAGGCAUCCAUGAAGGGAGGAAGGGAAAAAACUUAUCCACAGCUGCAGACUAAAACCAGCACGGGGCACUGCCUGUUCAAAUGUCAAGCAGAUUCAGCAUGAUAGAGUUUGGCCAGCUCCCAUGACUCAUCAAGCUCCCUCAUUUUAAUGCAAAGUAGAGUUUAUAUUCAAUAUAUUUGAGAAGAAAAUUAAAUGUCAAUCUGGUUGCUGGCUGGUUGCAGAGGAUUAUAUG